rnacentral:misc_RNA from 1 species
AGGGUUUGGUGUUGUUGACAUCUCAAUAUGUUGACAAUGGGUUGUGUUAUUAAAUUCAAUACUAUAUGGAAUUCCAAUAAACAUUUUAAAGGCUUAAUCCUGAUUAAACCAAAUAUUUGCCAAGUGAUUCAUGAUGUAAGCUGUAUACAAAGAAUAAAUAACAUAUUCAUUCUCUCUGUCAGCAGAUUAAGAACAUCGAAACAAUGAAAAUUUUAACUGAGUAAUAUCUGAAACUGAAAGGGAAUAUCAAAGUUAAUAGAUAGGUUUUUCAUAACUCAUAGACUAGGUCAGUUUCAAAAAUGGGGGAAAUUCGGCAUCAAUGAGGCAAAAUAAGAAAACCCACGUAUAUGAGAAGUAAUGUCUAACGUCUGCAUUGUUUGUGUUUUACUUUAAUAGUCGAGGUACUUUAAAUUCUGAAUCGGAGUGUCACUUGUUUACAUAACUGUAUUGUUUUGUGGGUUUACAGAUAUUUCAUGCCAAAACUUCAAAGGAGAUUGAACUGUUAUGUAAUAAUCCAUUGUUUUGUAAUGAAUAUAACAGGAAAUUUCUUACUGUGUGUCAGUUUGAAUUAUUAUAUUAAUUAAGUAUCUAUAUAUGGAUGCAUGCAUAUUGCAAAACAUUCUAG